rnacentral:rRNA from 1 species
UACGAAGGGGGCUAGCGUUGCUCGGAAUUACUGGGCGUAAAGCGCACGUAGGCGGCUUCUUAAGUCGGUGGUGAAAUCCUGGAGCUCAACUCCAGAACUGCCUUCGAUACUGGGAAGCUCGAGUCCGGGAGAGGUGAGUGGAAUUCCUGGUGUAGCGGUGAAAUGCGCAGAUAUCAGGAGGAACACCGGUGGCGAAGGCGGGUCUCUGGGCCGAUACUGACGCUGAGGAGCGAAAGCGUGGGGAGCGAACAGG